rnacentral:sRNA from 1 species
AAAAAUUAACAAAACUAUUUGAAGAAAAAUCAAAAGUCUUUUGUUGUGUUAAAUCCUCUAUUAAUCUCAUUCUUAU